rnacentral:rRNA from 1 species
GAUGAACGCUAGCGGCAGGCCUAAUACAUGCAAGCCGAACGGCAAGUCUGAUAGCAAUAUUAGACCUAGAGUGGCGUAAGGGUGCGUAACACGUAUGCAAUCUACCCGCAACAGGAGGAUAGCUCGGGGAAACUCGAAUUAACCCUCCAUAAGAUCUUAGACCGGCAUCGGUUAGAGAUUAAAUCUGAGGAGGUUGCGGAUGAGCAUGCGUCUGAUUAGCUAGUUGGCGGGGUAAUGGCCCACCAAGGCGAUGAUCAGUAGGGGAACUGAGAGGUUGAUCCCCCACACUGGCACUGAGAUACGGGCCAGACUCCUACGGGAGGCAGCAGUAGGGAAUAUUGG